CCCCAAAUUUUCAUAUAGGUUCUCCGGAAAAAACCGGUGGCCUAAAAUUAGGAAAAUUGUUUUUGCGGGCCCCCAUUAUUUCUUGGGGGGGGAAAUGGGAACACGUGGGAAACCUGCCCAGAAGCGGGGUAACCCUGAACAGGUUUUAACCCUUACAAUUGGCCCCUUGUCCGAUUUAAAAGGUUCUGGCUUCCCUUUGGAGUGCCCGGGGGUUUAAGGGAAGGUGGGGAACGGCUCCCCUGCAAUGAAUGUGCGACCUGAGAGGUAAUUGCCCACAUUGGGACUGAGACCGGGCCCAAUUCUUUGGGAGGCACCAUGGGAAUCUUCCACAAGGAAGAAGUUUGAGGAACAACCCCGCUGAAUGAAGAAGGGUUUGGGUUGUAAAACUCUGUUGUAAAGAAGAACAUAUCUGAGAGUAACUGUUCAGGUAUUGCCGUUUUUAACCGAAAGCCACGGCUAAUAAGUGCCAGCAGCCGCGGUAAUACGUAGGUGCCAGCGUUGUCCGGAUUUAUUGGGCGUAAAGCGAGCGCAGGCGUUUUUUAAGUCUGAUGGAAAGCCUUCGGCUCAACCGAAGAAGUGCAUCGGAAACUGGGAAACUUGAGUGCAGAAGAGGACAGUGAACUCCAUGUGUAGCGGUGAAAUGCGUAGAUAUAUGGAAGAACACCAGUGGCGAAGGCGGCUGUCUGGUCUGUAACUGACGCUGAGGCUCGAAAGUAUGGGUAGCAAACAGGAUUAGAUACCCUGGUAGUCCAUACCGUAAACGAUGAAUGCUAAGUGUUGGAGGGUUUCCGCCCUUCAGUGCUGCAGCUAACGCAUUAAGCAUUCCGCCUGGGGAGUACGGCCGCAAGGCUGAAACUCAAAGGAAUUGACGGGGGCCCGCACAAGCGGUGGAGCAUGUGGUUUAAUUCGAAGCUACGCGAAGAACCUUACCAGGUCUUGACAUACUAUGCAAAUCUAAGAGAUUAGACGUUCCCUUCGGGGACAUGGAUACAGGUGGUGCAUGGUUGUCGUCAGCUCGUGUCGUGAGAUGUUGGGUUAAGUCCCGCAACGAGCGCAACCCUUAUUAUCAGUUGCCAGCAUUAAGUUGGGCACUCUGGUGAGACUGCCGGUGACAAACCGGACUAGAUGGUGGGGUAUGACGUCAAAUCAUCAUGCCCCUUAUGACCUGGGCUACACACGUGCUACAAUGGAUGGUACAACGAGUUGCGAACUCGCGAGAGUAAGCUAAUCUCUUAAAGCCAUUCUCAGUUCGGAUUGUAGGCUGCAACUCGCCUACAUGAAGUCGGAAUCGCUAGUAAUCGCGGAUCAGCAUGCCGCGGUGAAUACGUUCCCGGGCCUUGUACACACCGCCCGUCACACCAUGAGAGUUUGUAACACCCAAAGUCGGUGGGGUAACCUUUUAGGAACCAGCCGCCUAAGGUGGGACAGAUGAUUAGGGUGAAGUCGUAACAAGAUGCCGCUCCCC
rnacentral:rRNA from 1 species